GAGCGGUAAGGCCCUUCGGGGUACACGAGCGGCGAACGGGUGAGUAACACGUGGGUGAUCUGCGCUGUACUUCGGGAUAAGCCUGGGAAACUGGGUCUAAUACCGGAUAUGACCUUCGGUUGCAUGACCGAGGGUGGAAAGAUUUAUCGGUACAGGAUGGGCCCGCGGCCUAUCAGCUUGUUGGUGGGGUAAUGGCCUACCAAGGCGACGACGGGUAGCCGGCCUGAGAGGGCGACCGGCCACACUGGGACUGAGACACGGCCCAGACUCCUACGGGAGGCAGCAGUGGGGAAUAUUGCACAAUGGGCGAAAGCCUGAUGCAGCGACGCCGCGUGAGGGAUGACGGCCUUCGGGUUGUAAACCUCUUUCGACAGGGACGAAGCGCAAGUGACGGUACCUGUAGAAGAAGCACCGGCCAACUACGUGCCAGCAGCCGCGGUAAUACGUAGGGUGCGAGCGUUGUCCGGAAUUACUGGGCGUAAAGAGCUUGUAGGCGGUUCGUCGCGUCGUUCGUGAAAACUUGGGGCUCAACCCCAAGCUUGCGGGCGAUACGGGCGGACUAGAGUACUUCAGGGGAGACUGGAAUUCCUGGUGUAGCGGUGAAAUGCGCAGAUAUCAGGAGGAACACCGGUGGCGAAGGCGGGUCUCUGGGAAGUAACUGACGCUGAGAAGCGAAAGCGUGGGUAGCGAACAGGAUUAGAUACCCUGGUAGUCCACGCCGUAAACGGUGGGUACUAGGUGUGCGUAUCCUUCCACGGGAUCCGUGCCGUAGCUAACGCAUUAAGUACCCCGCCUGGGGAGUACGGCCGCAAGGCUACAGCUCGAAGGAAUUGACGUGGACCGGCACAAGCGGCGGAGCAUGUGGAUUAAUUCGAUGCA
rnacentral:rRNA from 1 species